AGUAGACAAAUAUCAAACAUAAUUUCUUCUUAACAGGAGUAGAAACUUAAGAAAAAAAAACAUACAAUGGAUCUAAAAAAAUCUGCUAUCAUUUUUUUUCUUGUAUCAAUAUUGGCAAUCUCAUUCUCCAACCACAAUGUUUUGGCUGCCUCAGGUAAGAAAUGCAUUGCACAAUGUGUUCCAGGGGUUUACGAAUAUUUCGAAUGCAUCCAUGACUGUAUAACCGAAAGGUACGAUGACGGACGUUGUUAUCCAGGGCCCAACACUGGAAAAUGUUGUUGCACCAGCAAAUGAUUAAAAAACGAUAAAUUUGUUCGACUGAUGAAAUAUGUUUCAAAGUCUUUUUCUGAAUAAUUACUAAAUGAAAUGAAAUUAAAAAAUAUAUAUUUUUCGUUCUAUC